GAACAGCGCAGUUUAAAACAGUGAGAAUGGCCAAUUAUACACAUCUGUCUUUCCCCACCAAAAUGAACUAGCAAACAAAAGCAAGCAAGCGGAAGCCCCUCAGCGGCAGCAGAGCUUCGCGGAACUCACAGCGCACACCCACCUGGUGGGCGCGGCCCUCCUCUGCUUUCCAGGCUCCUCGCUGCUCCUGGCCGACGCCCGGUCCUUCUGGCCCAGCUCCACUGGCCCUCGCCAAUUCCUGGUCUGAGAGCCUUGCCUCCUCCAAGAAACUACCCAGAGGUAACACGAGUUGCUCUUUCUACUGUUCGCCCACAAACGCAAGGCUGAGACACUGGAGGGAAUCUGGGUGUUCUGAUGCAUCGCUGAACGUAGAAGCAACUAGGAGGGGUCAGCAAGACAGGUGUGGCGGCGGGAGACUACACGGCGACGACAAAGCGGCAGCGCGGCUCCCGGCCGCAGCACGGCGCGCCUCCAGUCACAGCUGCGGCACAGCUCCCCCCGAUGUCAGUGUUUUCAAUAAAAGCUUCCCGGGGAGCUCAAACAGUAAUGAAUCCGCCUGCAAUGUGGGAGACCUGGCUUCAGUCCCCGUGUUGGGAAGAACCCUGAAGAGGGGCAUGGCAAUCCACUCCAGUAUUCCUGCCUGGAGAAUCCCCAAGGACAAGGGAGCCUGGCGGGCUGCAGUCCGCGGCGUUGCAAGGAGCUGGACAUGACUGAGUUAUUGAAACACGGAGAGCGUUAUUGAUACAGUAGGAUGCUUGCUAUACGGCCAGUUAGACUUUUGAGGAAGAAUAUUUAAUGACUUAAUAGUAACUAGUACUAGUUUCAGCUGAAGCUGAAACUCCAAUACUUUGGCCACCAAUGCAAAGAACUGACUCACUGGAAAAGACCUUGAUGCUGGGAAAGAUUGAAGGCGGAAGGAGAAAGGGACAACAGAGGAUGAGAUGGUUGGACGGCAUCACUGAGUCAAUGGACAUGAGUUUGAGUGAACUCUGGGAGCUGGUGAUGGACAGGAAGGCCUGGUGUGCUGCAGUCCGUGGGGUCACAGAGUCAGACACGACUGAGCGACUGAACUGAACAGUAACUAACAUUUACUGAACCCUAAUUAUGUACUCCAUGUGUAUUACCUCAUUUAACCCUCAUAAUAUAACUGUGAUAAAACACAUGUUGUUUAUAGAUGAGAAUGCUGAAGCUCAGGGAGUGAAGGAACUUGGUCAAAACCACCUUGUUAAUAAAUGACAAGCCCAGAAAUAUAUCGAUUAAUUUAUGUUUAAGUAAAAAAUAAGGUCUAUAACAAUAUGUGUAGUUUUAUCUCAUUUUUAUUGCUAUAGUUUUGAUUUUUUUUCAAAACAUGUUUUUGCACAUAUCUGUAAGACAUAACAACUUAUACAUUCAGCAAUUCACAUCUAACCUCUUCAGAAUGCAGUGGUGGGAUUAUGAGACUGUGCAUUUCUUCCUUUUGGCUAAUACGUGUCGAAUGGGUCUGUGCGUGAGGCAGGCACAGGCUCUCUUCUCAACACGUGCUUACUGCCUGCACCAGCUCUUCCUCGCAGCGUGUGUUAUCUGUUACUUGUGGCAUAUGGGAUCUCGAUCCCUGACCAGAGAUCCAGCCUGGGCACCCUGAACCGGGAGCCCAGAGUCACCCACUGGACCCCAGGGAAGUCUCACAGGGCACAGGAUCUUAGCGAUCACUAGCCCAUGGGGCGCUGCCUUAUCCGGGGGUGGACCCACUCAGCACAGCACGGGCUGCUGUCUUAGACGCUCCUCAGACCCUCCGCAGAGCCCCGCGAGCGCCGCCGUCCCCAGGGCCUGCCGUGUUCAUGGAGCCCUCACGCCACAGCUGCACGCAGCGUGGGGGCCCUGCGUGGUGGCAUCUCUGCCCACAGAGGCAGGCUGUCCUCCAGGCUCCAGCUCUGGAGGUGGGGGAGGCCCUGGCCUGGGUCCACUCCGCAGUGGUCAAAGGCCUGGGCAGCUGGGGGAGGGCCCCCUAACGGGACACUAGACGCCACGGGGCCAGGGAGGGCCUCCGCGCCUACCCCACACAGAUCUGUGUAACAGGAAGCUCGGGAAGGUCAGGCACCCGCGCACCUUGUGUCAGGGUGGGCACGUUCACGGUGCGCGUGCGGGGCCUGGGAAGGCUGCCUCGGCUUCUGUGUCAGUGCUGCCAGAGCAGUGGUGUGGCUGCGGCUCAGCUCACUGAGCA
ensembl:lncRNA